rnacentral:miRNA from 1 species
UCGGGCCACCUUCUCCCCGUUGGGGGAGAAGGGGUGUCGUCGCAGCGUUUCGAUUCCCCCCUUCUCCCCUGCGGGGAGAAGGUGCCCGAA